UUUAAUGGACAAGACUUUGGACGAAGGUUGCAACAAAAACCAGUUUAUCCAGUGUGUCAAUGUCGGCCUCUUAUGCGUACAAGAAGAUGCAAACGAUCGGCCUGCCAUGUCAAACGUUAUCACCCUGCUUGACAAUGAAACUGCAACCUCUCCAUCUCCUAAACAACCAGGGUUUCUCACAAGGAGAGGCAAAUCCAGCACAGCUUCUUCUUCUAGUAAGCUAGAAGCUAUAUCUGAAAUAACCACCAGUAUAGUAGAAGGUAGAUAAUUAAAGGACGGUUGGUACUCUAGUUUUUUACUCUUUUUUCACGUCUCAGUUUUUUCCUUUUUUAUAUUUAACACUUAUCGCUGUAAUUAUAAAAGCAUGUAUCUAAUGUUUCUGGUCAGAAAAGUUUGAGUGUGACCUCUUGGCAGUGUGACUUGGUUUCAUCGUCUAUUCUUUUCUUUCUUUUUCUCAGAUUAAUCCUCGAUCGAGUUCUUGAUCAACUUAUCAUGAAAUCAACUUAGAAUGAGUGUUUUUUCUUUCUUUCUUUCUUUUUAUGGGUUUAGGGAUUCGAUUAUGUGGAUUUCAAUUAUAUAAGCGAUUUAUGGUUAAUGAUAGGUUUAAUAUACGGAGAUUUAGAUAGGGAAGUGAUUUUUGUACGCGCUUUAUCACACUCAAACUCAUACAGUUGCAACGUAACAAAAUCACAAAAGUAGAUCGUGUACGAAUCCAAAACAAAAGCACACAGCUUCACCAAACUAAGCAUUCAAACCACCAUGAUUAUCACCAAACACAGAUUAUAAAUGUAAAGCAUUCCACUGUUCUACAAAACGCUGGAAUGGAAUCCUCAAAACCGUUCCAUUCUUGAAUAGACAAGGAGAUGAAUGCAAUUACUAGUUCCACUCUCGCAUUCCGACCAACCAAAUAGAUGUCGUUUUCUUAUCUGGAAUGUUAAACAGCGAUUGUGGAAAUCAAUUACAUCGAAAACGGACUGGUAAUGAAGCCUAUGAAGGGGUUCGCUUUCAACGGACCUGAAACCUUAGGUUUAUUCAUUUGAAGGAAUCUAUUUGCACUUGCGUUUAUGUUUUCCCAAUUGGAAUGUUUUUUUUAUUGUUGGUAACGAGAGUAAAUCGAUCUUUGCUCCUUAUUAUACAAUAAUUACAUAACUUGUGACCUAAGUAAAGCUAAGAAUCCAUAUUCGGGUUCGACAUAAUUUUUUGUGUUAGUAAGAUUUGUCAUCGAAAUUGGUUAACUACACAGAUUGAAUUUCUGCGUUAAAAAGCUCGAUGAUUCCGUGCAUAGAUCGAUCAUAUUCCUCUGCAGAGUUUGUCCGCUGACAUCUAUUGAGUUAGUAAUAAUAUCAUAAUUAGAAUUUCUCAACAAUUGUAAUACACUUCAUUAUUAUUUGUUUACAAGAGGGAAGUCCUUUCUUAUAGAGGGCCAAAAACUACACAACUAGUCCUAACAAGUGGACAAACCAAAUGAUGAUUACAUGAGGAAAACACCGAAGAGGAAAAUAAGGAGAAAAGUAAAGCAAAGUAAUGAUGGCUAGCUAUAAAGUAAAGUAAUGAUGGCUAGCUAGAGGAAUAAUUACAAGUGUAUUGUCUAUACCAAUAAUGUCUAGCAGCUAUUGUUGACACUCUCCCUCAAGUUGGUGCAUAGAUGUCAUGAAUGCCCAACUUGCUUAGUGAGUUGUGAAAUACUGAACUUGUGACUGCUUUGGUGAGCAUGUCUGCUAAUUAAUCUUCAGAUUUAACGAAUGGAACUUCAAUAAGUCUUGCCUCAAUUUUUCUUUAAUAAAAUGUCUAUCCACCUCCACAUGUUUGGUUCGAUCAUGUUGAACUGGAUUGUGAACAAUGUCAAUUGCAGCCUUGUUGUCACAAUGUAGACGCAUAGCAUGCUUGGGCCUAAAUCCCAAAUCUCUUAGUAAAUUCUUCACCCAAAGCAGUUCACAUACUCCAUGUGCCAAGCUCCGAUAUUCUGCUUCAGCACUUGAUCUAGCAACAACCCUUUGUUUCUUACUACGUCAAGAGACUAGAUUUCCUCCAACAAUAACAAAGUAUCCUGAUGUUGAUCGUCUGUUAGUUACAUCACUAGCCCAAUCAGUAUCAGUGUAGCCUUUAAUGUCUAGAUGAUCAUGUUUUGAAAAUAUUAAUCCUUUCCUAGGAGCUGACUUUAAAUACCUCAAGAUACGGUUUACAACAUCCAUGUGUGUUUCACUUGGUGCAUGCAUAAACUAGCUUACCAUGCUGACUUCAUAUGCUAUAUCUGGUCUAGUAUGUGCAAGAUAUAUUAGCUUACCAACAAUUUGUUGAUAUCUCUCUUUGGUGGUAGGUAUUUGAUCAGGAUAUUCACCAAGUUUGUGAUUCAACUCAUUUGGGUUAUCUGCUGGUUUGCAUGCUAGCAUCUCAAUUUCCGGGAAAAUAUCAAGAACAUAUUUCCGUUGUGAUAAAAAUACUCCUUGUUGUGAGCGGGCCACCUCAAUGCCCAAGAAAUGCUUUAAGGCACCGAGAUCUUUCAUCUCAAAUUCACUUGAUAGAUACUUUUGCAGUGUUGCCUUCUCUUCUGGAUCAUUUCCUGUAACCACCAUGUCAUCCAUAUAUACAAUAAGAGCAGUGAUUUUACCUUUAUUAUGCUUUAAGAAAAGAGUAUGAUCUGAGUUGCUUUGCUUGUAUCCAAAAAAAUUCAUCGAUUUGGUAAAUCUCCCAAACCAAGCUCUCGGUGAUUGAUUUAAACCAUACAACUACUUUUUUAGUUUACAAAAGUUGUUGGUCUGAUUGGGAUCUAGCUUGCAUCCUGGGGGAAGCUCCAUAUAAACUUCUUCUAAAUCUCCAUGCAGGAAAGCAUUUUUGACAUCGAAUUGUUGCAAAUGCCAGUCAAGGUUUGCUGCUAGGGAUAAGAGUACACAAAUAGUGCUUAUCUGACACGCCCCGACUCCGAUAUUCCCCGAAUAUCAGGAUAGGUACGUGUUGGCCAACACCUGAGGUGACGAAGCCAUUUAUUGAAAUACAAGAGAAAUGAUUAGGAGAAACACGCACAAUUAAACAUCUGAAAUCAAAGGGAGUUACAAACAAAGUUUAGGGAAAUAUCUAGAGUGCGCAAAACACAUUCGAAGUCAAGAUCACAAAAGGAAAGAUCAUUACAAAUAUUACACAAGUGGAAGAUAGACUGCUACUGGUAGGGGAAUGCCUCGUAUGAUGCCUCGUAGUCCUCGUUCCUAAGACCUGAAUGGGGGCGCAAAACAAGGGUGAGUGGACCAAGUUUAUAUACAUACAUAGUACAAAAACAGUUAUGAACAUACUAACCCCCACAAUUUAAUAAUGAAAACUACUAGAAUAAUAAGUGAUAAGCUUUUCAGAAAACUUUAGCAUGCCAUAAAACAAUUCAUAUAUCCAUCUGCAAAUCAAUCUCAGAAAAUCAUAUCAUAAAUCGUAUCAGGAAGCAUAACACAAGUUGUGCUGCUAGUAAGUGCACUGAAUAAUAAUACUCCCGGCCCAAUGCCUGCACCUCAGUCUCUGUGCCCGUAGCUAGAGAUAUCCCCCUCCUGGCCCAAUGCCUGUCUCCGUGUCCCUCAGCCUUUCGCUAGGGAUUAUUUCUCUCGGCCUCAAUGCCAACACCAGAUCCUCGCCCCAGGCGGCAUAGUGUUCACUAGGUACGCACAAAACAUAAUUAAUCUCUAAAAUACAACUUCAUAGCAUAAAUUCAUCGAUCCUCUAUACUACGAAGAGGUGUUCGAAAGUCAUUUGAAACACAUUCUUAGCAUCCUAUCAGAUAGUCUACUAUAAUGAGGGUUCUAUAGAAAAUACAAUAUAAUGAAAAUAGUUCAAAAUAUUUAUAUAUAAUCAAUCAUAAUUAAAUCAUCAUGCUUCCUGUAAAGUAUUCCUCAAAUCAAUAAUUCUGCAAGGCAUGCUAUUAAAUUAUGCAAUUCUAUCAAUAAAACAUGCAAUUUUCGAAGGUGGUCCACUAACAGAUACUCCGAAGCAGUAGAAUUGUGCGAAAAAGAUUAAGGAAGUCUCCACUAGCAACUUCACAUAAGCAUGAAAAUGUACAAUUUAAUAAACUACCCAAAAGAUAGAAUUUUAGGAAAUGGAAAUGGGUUUUUGGGUUUGGGUAGGUUAGGAACAAGAGGGAGUUUGGGCUUAUGCCUAAAUCCAUACUUAUACACACACGGCACACACAUCCACACACACAUAUAUAUAUAUAUAUAUAUAUAUAUAUAUACAUAUAUAAACACACACACACUCCCACGCAUGCACACAUACACACACUCCCACAACAUAUCCAUACACACAUGUACAUAUGCACGGACACACACAUACACAUAUGCACUGCACCACACACACUUGCAUACACACACACACACACACACAUAUAAACACACACACACAUGCAUAUAUAUAUAUACACACACAUAUAUAAACACACACACGCACAGCAUGUAUAUAUAUUAUUGAUGUUUCGGUUUCAACUUUGUUGUUUCUUUCUUAUUCAUUCUGCUGCAAUUGCAGCAUUGUUUAUAUGCAUUUUACAUACACGCAUGCAAUAAAGAAAAGCAAUACAGGUGUUGUGCUUGCUGUCAUGAUGCAGCAACUAGAGAAAAAAUAAGCAGCAUUCAUUUCUCCCAUACAACAUUGUCUAUCUGUCAAGGAAUAUACAACAUUCCUUUUCACGAGCAAUAUUCCCUCUCUCCAUACUGUCAUAUUUCCUCUCUCCCAUACUGUCCUAGCUGUCAAUAUCAUAUUCCCUCUUUCCCAUACUGUCCUAGCUGUCAAUACUCCCCCUCAAGCGGGAUCAAGGGGGUUGAUUGAUCCAAGCUUGAACAAUAACCGUUGAAAUUGUGUAAAAUCAAGAGCUUUCGUGAAAAGGUCCGCAAGUUGAUCAUGACUUCUAGUGUACACAGUUUCGAUGACUUUGGAUUGAACUUGAGUGCGGAUGUAGUGGCAGUCAACUUCAAUGUGUUUAGUCCGUUCAUGGAAUACAGGAUUGGAUGCAAUAUGCAUGGCAGCCUGCUUGUCACAGAAUAAGGACAUGGGUUCCUUAUUGGUGAAGCCAAGAUCAAGAAGGAGACUCUUCAACCAGAUGAGUUCAGAAGCUGUUGCUGCCAUGGCCCGAUAUUCAGCUUCAGCACUGGACCGUGCAACCACUGUUUAUUUUUUACUUUUCCAGGUGACAAGGUUUCCACCUACAAAGGUACAAAAACCUGUGGUGGAUUUUCGAUCAAGGGAAUUACCAGCCCAGUCCGCAUCGGUAUAGGCCAGAAUGUGAUUAGACUUAUUUUUCUGCAUGAGUAUGCCUCUGCCGAUCGAGCCCUUGAGGUAUCGAAGUAUUCUCUUGACAAUUUCCCAAUGAACCAAUGUAGGAGAAUGCAUAAACUGACUGAUAAGGUUUACGGAGUAAGCAAUAUCAGGCCGUGUGAUAGUGAGGUAAAUGAGUUUCCCAACCAUGCGUUGAUACACAUUAGGAUUUGAAAGAAGGGUACCUGGAGCAUCCAGUUGAAGUUUGCUAGCAAGUUAGUGCGGGCAGGUUUGCAGUUGACCAUAUGUGCUUCAUCAAGAAGGUCAAGAACAUACUUCCUUUGAUUUAAGAAUAAACCCUUGGAGGAGGUAGCCAUCUCAAUACCCAGAAAAUAUUUCAAGGAUCCCAAAUCUUUAAUGGCAAACUGUUGGUGAAGUGACCUUUUAAGAGCCUCGAGUUCAUCCAUGUUGUCCUCCGUGAUAAUAAGGUCGUCAACAUAUAUAAGAACUACAAGCUUCCCUUGGACACCACUUCGAACAAAGAGAGAGGAGUCAGCAUGACUCAUUUUGAACCCUGCCACUUCAAGAACGGAGCUUAGUUUGGCAUACCAAGCUCGAGGAGACUGUUUAAGUCCAUAUAUAGCUUUAUGAAGCUUGCAGACUUUGGUAGGUUCUUUUUCUUGAGGGUGUCCUGGAGGUAGCUUCAUGUACACCUCUUCUUGAAGCUCACCGUGAAGAAAUGCGUUUUUAACAUCCAUUUGAAACAAGGGCCAGUCAUGGUUGACUGCUACUGAUAACAACACCCUCACUGUGUUCAUUUUGGCAACAGGAGCAAAGGUCUCAUUGUAGUCAAUGCUGUAAGUUUGAGUGAAACCCCGUGCAACCAACCGGGCCUUGUGUCUUUCAAUGGUACCAUUAGAAUUGAAUUUGGUCUUGUAAAUCCAUCUACUCCCUACGGCUUUCUUCCCUUUGGGAAGAUCUACUACACUUCAGGUUUGAUUUUCAUUCAGUGCUUUGAGCUCAUCAUGCAUGGCAUCUCUCCACACAGGUAUACAUACUGCUUCUUGAAAGUUUUUAGGCUCAACAUUGUUUGCCAACUGACUUAGGAAGGAUGCAUGAGAUGCUGACAGUUUGUGAUAAGUGAGAGCUUCAGAAAUGGGAUGCCUUGCACUGUAAGUGAUGUACUCUUGUAGCCGUCGAGAAGGGUUGCGAUCGCGAGUUGGAUUCCUUUUUGGUGCUGCUACAAUUGGUUGUGUGGCAACAACUGGUGCUGGGGCACGAGGUAUAUCUUCACUGACCAUCUCAUCAACUGGAGGAUCACUUAUAGGGUGGUAUGGGGGGUGUCUGUAUGGAUUUCAGCGAGAGUUGGUAGUGGAAAAAUAUCCAUUAGACUCUCCCCCUGAGAACUAUUUGGGGAGUGAUUGUUGAAGAAGGGAACGUGUUCAUCAAACCGUACAUCCCUAGAGACAACCAGCUUCCCAGUGUGUGGGUUAUAACAUUUGUAUCCCUUUUGAGAACUCGAGUACCCCAUAAACACACACUUGAUAGCUCGAGGUUCGAGUUUAUCACGAUGAUUUGCUUGAACGUGAACAUAACAUGUGCACCCAAAAAUCCUGAAAUGAGUUAAAUCAGCAGUUCUUCCCUUCAUAACUUCAAAAGGUGAUUUGGAAUUCAGGACACGAGUGGGAAGUCUGUUAAUGAUAUAGGCUGCAGUAAGGAGUGCUUGGGACCAGAAUCUCUUGGGAACUUGCAUCUGAAACAUAAGAGACCUAGUUUUCUCCAAUAAAUCCCUAUUCUUGCGUUCGGCCACACCAUUUUGUUGUGGUGUACCUACACAACUUGUUUGAUGCAAGAUACCAUGACUGCUUAAGUAGUUUGACAGAUUAUUGGAGGUAUACUCGGUGCCAUUAUCUGACCGUAAGGUACAUAUUUUUGAGGAGAAGUGGUUGGUUAUUAGCUUAUGAAAGUCUUGAAAAGCUGUAAAAAAUUCACUUUUAGACUUUAAGAGAUAUAACCAAGUAACCCUAGAGUAGUCAUCUAUGAAUGUAACAAAAUACUUGUACCCAUCAAAUGACUCAACACGGGAAGGUCCCCAAAUAUCUGAGUGUACAACUUCAAAGGGUUUACUAGUUCUAGAUUUAGAGGGUACAAAAUGUAGCCUAGUGGCUUUUGACAUUUGACAGAUCUCACACUCAUGUGUGUUGGUACAAUAAUUUGGAAAUAAUUUAGACAUUACUGGUUCGGAGGGAUGAGCUAGGCGUUGGUGCCAAAGUUGAUGCUUCUGGACAUGGCUUAGGUUGACAAUGGGUUCCUUAACUUGAUUGAACUCCUUUGAGAGGUAGUACAGACCAUUUAAGAAAAAACCCUCACCAAUCUUCUUCUGAGUGACUCGAUCCUGAAAUACAACUGUGUGAGGAGAAAAAAUAGCAAGACAGUUCAAAGUAUGUGUGAGUUUUCCUGUGGACAGAAGCUGAAAUGGAAAUGAGGGUACAUAUAGUGCCGUAGACUCUACAUCACUCCCCAUCAAUUUAAUUUUUCCUUUUCCUAGAACUGGUUCCCCUUUCCCAUUCGCUACAGACACAUGAGUAGGAUUAGGUAAUUUUUGAAACUCAUGUAGACAAGCUUGUUUGUUGGUUAUAUGGUCAGUGGCACCUGAGUCUAUAAUCCAAAAAUUGUGUGUGAGAUAUACAUUGAGAGCCGUGGAAAGUGCACAAAUGAUACCUGGGAUAUUGCCGGAUUUAGUGGUGUUUGAAUUUGCCAAAAAACCAGCAAAUUUUCCAAGCAUUUCUGUGGGAUUUUCCGUGGUGACAUUGUUACCCUCAGCGAUAUCACUCUUCUUCUGGAGAAAGGCGGCAAACUCAUUGAUCAGGGAGAUAGGGUUUGAGGUGAAGUUUGACAUCUCAUUAGAUGGACAACUCAGAGAUUGGAAGGCUUUAGGCGCAAACCCUUUCCCAUCCCUGAUCAUUUUUCCUUCCUUGUUAAACUUAGGUUUUAACUCAAGAUGUAAAAUCCAGCAUUUUUCCCGUACGUGCCCCUUGGUGUUGUAGUAUGUGCAUUUCCAGUCAGCUUUCCUUCCAUUAAAAGGCCUUUCACUAGUGAAGUUGUGGUUACUAGUGAAAACCCUAGCUUCUGGGCUAGACAGGGGCUCAACAUGCAUAACUUUCCUUCGAGUUUCUUCUCUUUGGACUGCAUGACACACGUUGAUGAAAGAUGGUAGCUCAGGAGUCAUUAGUAAGUGGCUACGCAAGUCUUCAUACUCAACUCCCAAACUUGCCAAUAGUUGGAACACUUUAUCUUCAUCAGCCCUUUUCAAGAGUACAGCGGAUUCAGUGGUGUGUGGACGAUAUAGAUCAAGUUCAUUCCACAUAGAUUUCAUGCUUCCAAGAUGCUGAAUGAAAGUUUGAUCACCUUGCUUAAGCCCAGCGAGGCUUUUCUUCAGUUCAAACACACGAGCAGCAUUGUGUUGACUACCGUACAUUUCCUUGAUCGAUUCCCAUAAGAUGUGUGAAGAAUCUGAGUAGCUGAAGAUCUCGGACAACUUGGGCUCCAUCGAGUUAAGUAUCCAGGACAUAACAAGCUGGUCAUUUGAGUGCCAUGCAUCAAAGGUAGCUGAGGAAGACUCUGGAGGCUUGAUGGUUCCAUUUACGUACCCUAGUUUCGAUCUUCCUCCUAGGGCAAGAGAUAUAGCUCGUGACCGUGGCAAGUAGUUGAACUCAUUCAACAACACAGAGCACAGUCGUGGGUUGCUCUCCCCGUGUAUCAUGUUGGCUGGUGUUAGGGUUGAGGGACUUGUAGCCUCAUAACUAAAUGAGAUAUCUUCUGCCAUCACAACAAAUGAUGAACAGAUGAAGAAGAACAAGCUAGAAGGAUAAUCAACAGAGGCAGGACCCUAUGGUUCCUGCUCUGAUACCAUAUUGAUGUUUCGGUUUCAACUUUGUUGUUUCUUUCUUAUUCAUUCUGCUGCAAUGGCAGCAUUGUUUAUAUGCAUUUUACAUACACGCAUGCAAUAAAGAAAAACAAUACAGGUGUUGUGCUUGCUGUCAUGAUGCAGCAACUAGAGAAAAAAUAAGCAGCAUUCCUUUAUCCCAUACAGCAUUGUCUAUCUGUCAAGGAAUAUACAACAUUCCUUUUCACGAGCAAUAUUCCCUCUCUCCAUACUGUCAUAUUUCCUCUCUCCCAUACUGUCCUAGCUGUCAAUAUAUAUAUAUAUAUACAUAUAUACAUACACACACACAACAUGCAUACUUACACACACACACACACGGUUCACGCACACACACUUGCACAUACACAUACACACACAGUACACCCACACUACACACGCACACGGUUCGCACACACACACACGGACACACAUACACACCUGUACACACACACACCUACGAACUCGCCGGAGUUCGUUGUCGAAACUAGAUUAUUAGCAUAGGGAAAAACUGAGAUCGAAACCCUUGAGUUUUGUCAUAAAAACAACAUGCAUAACCCAGAAAUUUUGAAGAAGGAACACAAUCCUCACCUGGGUUCGAGUGUUAGAGCUUUGAAGCUCUCGGCUUCAAUGGCAGAAAAACCCACGGUGCUCAGAUGGCGCAUGCAAGGGUACCAUUGAGUUCGUUAGGUUUCAAGGAUUCCAAAUAUAUGGUUUUUGAGGUUUGAUUUGUAAGGGAAGUGAGGUGAAAGCUAGAGAGAAGCUCUCAGAGCUUAGAGAGUGAGAGAGAGAGAGAGAGAGAGAGAGCACUGAGAUUGAAAAUUGUUUCGGGAAGAGAGGGAAGAAAAAAGGGUUCUGAGAACUGCCACAUGGCAGUUUAAGGAUAAUAGCAUUUCUAGAUCAAGGGUUAGGAUUAAAAGAGAAUAAGGGACUAAAUUGAUAGAUAACAAAUAUGUUCUAGGGGAAAAAUAGAAAUAGUAUGAAAAUAUGGGGGUGGGGUUUAACAUUAUCUUAGCUACAGGGGUAAAAGUCUCUCUGUAGUCAAUGCCAUAUGUUUGCGUGUAGCCUUUUGCCACUAAUCUUGCUUUGUAUCGCUCAAUAGUGCCAUCUGCAUUGAAUUUUACUGUGUAUAUCCACCUGCAACUAACUGAUUUCUUCCCCUUGGGAAGGUUAGUUAACUCCUAAGUGGAAAUUUUCUGAAGUGCCUCCAUUUCUUCAUUCAUUGCACGAGUCCACCUAGGAUCUUUCAUAGCAUCCUCUACACUACAAGGAAUAGAUACAGUGAAUAAUUGAUUUACAAAUGCCUCACAUGAUGUAGAUAGCCUAUGGAGGGACACAUGGUUAGCAAUUGGGUAUUUAACGUUGGCUAGGAUCAGGAUCAUAUAACUGUUUAGGAAUCCCUCGAGAUUUUUGAGGGGGAAGUUGAUAAUUAGUGGACUCAAUUUGACUUGACUCAGGUACGAUCUCAAUAGAAUUAGAUUGAUCAGUUACCUGUUGAUAAUUAGGCAUUUAAUUUUCUCAUAUGGCAGUGUGUAAUUAUCUCGAGUACAACCACAAUGAUAUUCAAUAUGUGGAAGUCUCCUUAAUUUUAGAUGAUCAUGGAUAGCGAAAAGAGGUGAGUAGGAGCAAGGGCGAUUCCAACUCUUUAUAAGCCGUUGUAAGAUUUUUUUAACUUUCCGGCAUUCUUCACCUUCUCACGAGUAGCCUUCAUCCCCAUUUGUGUGGAUCCACUUCUUUAUCUAACUCUUGACCAAAUUGACCUAGUCACCUUCAGAUAACGAUAACUAUUAAUCUAGCAACUCAAACCGACCAAUAAUUUAUUGGCACAUUGCUCACAGCUUGCAAAGGUAACAAGUAGAUGAAGGCAUAUAGGGGUACUUUUGAGAAUAUGGAAAACAGCAUCAGGACAAAUGAUCUAGCUUAGAUAAUUGUAUCCUUAUGGUGAUCGAAAGGGAACUUCACAUUUCAGCAGGAUCAAGAGGGAACUUGAUCUGGUCAGAUCCUAGAGAUCGAUGGUUCCAGCGUGUAUAAUAAUUUUGGUAGUUGCAAUAGCGAAAAUGGUUUGGUUUGCAAGUGCUUACCUGGUUUUAAGCCUUGUUCGCCGGAUAAUUGGAACAAUGGGGAUUAUUCAGCUGGAUUUGUUAGGAAAUCAACAAACAAUGCCGUGAGCGACAAGUUCUUGAGUUUAAAGAUGAUGAAGGUGGGAAACCCUGAUUCGCAAUUUAAUGCCAAAAGUUAGAUGGAAUGCAAAAUAGAGUGCCUUAACAACUGCCAGUGCCAAGCUUAUUUAUACGAGGAGGUUCAUAUCACACGAAGGGGUGGGAGUAGUAGUUCUACAUGCUGAAUUUGGUUAGAGGAUGUUAGCAAUCUUCAGGAGGAGUAUGUCAGCAGCCGGAACUUCCAGGUUCGUGGAGCAGUUGCGGAUAUAGGUAUGAUUCUCUUAUAUAAAAAUGCCGGAAUUGCUACAGGUUCAUGUAGCAGUUCCAUAUGUUCUUUUGGUAGACAAUCAUGCAAGCUAAACAUUUGCUCGACUGUUUUUAAAUUUUCAAGGAAUUAUAUUUUUGCAGAGCAACAUCGAGGAAUUGCGAUACUUGUGGUACAAACCUGAUCCCUUAUCCCCCUGAGCGCUGGAACAAAAUGUGGUGAUCCUACAUACUAACCUCUCCACUCGCGGUUAUGCGUGCGCGAAUUUUUUUUUUAGCUACGUCUGUCACAUUUAUGUUACUUUGCAAACUACAAAUUUUUAUGCUAAAGCAUAUACAUUAUAAACGUGGGCAGGGUGGCAGAUUCAAGAAAUAUUAUUUGAAAGGUCGGUAAGCACAGCGUGGCAGUGGGCAAAAUUUUAGGAACGGAAUAGCAUGCAAAUUGGCAUAUUAUCGAGCCUUAGUAGGCUUGAAGUCAUUUGCCAAGUCACAUUACACGUAUGUUGACAGAUGCCAACAACUUCUGAGCGAGCAUGUCGACUGAUGUGAAUAGCUUUUGAGUGAGCAUGUCGACAUAUGCCAACAUAUGUUGAGUAAGCCUAUGGACAGAUGCCCAUUGUAACGCAUACAAAGGCACGACGCUAGCAAUAGAGGUAGUUCGUCAAGUAGUUAGACGACAUCUUUUGAUGACAUCUCAUAUUUUCAAAAGACGAUACCCAUUUCUUCCAUGAAGGAUUUUUAAGCUUGCGGGGGUCAGCUGACCUCGAUGAUAGAAGAUGUGUUGGCAUAUGGUAUCCUGAACUGGGUCCGAGGACAGCGGUAUGAGUUGCCAACAGAGAACCCCCAGUUCUCAAUUCAACUAGAACCACAUUUUUUGCACUCCAAGACAUUAACCUUCAAGAGUUACUGGUCAAUGAGGGUUGAAGCAUGAACGAUUUUAUUUUAUUUUUAGAGGGAUUUUGUUCAUUUUGAUUUUGGUUUUUCAUGGUUUUUAGGAUUUUUUUAAUUUAUAUUCCACUUUAUUUAGUAACACUCCUGAAAUGAUAAAGCAUGUGAGUCUCGUAUUACAAUUAAUAAUGUAUUACACGAAUAGUUUUAAACUAGUGAUAUAUUUAUUUAGAGAAAGUGAGAAUUCAUAAUUUAAUACCUUAAAAAAAGUAAGAAAUCAUAUUAACUAGAAAAAUACUAAGGAAACUCUCAAAAGUGGAACUCUACUGGAAUCUUUGUCGUCUCAUGUUUUCGGCACAAUAUUUAAUAAUGUAUUCAUGAGAAUUGACAUUAAACUGUACGGUGUUAAAGAGUAUAAAGAGACCCACUUUGAAAAUGUCUCCUUAACAUUUCUCUGUUAAUUAUAUGGCCAAUUGAUUUGUUCCUAUACAAUUCUCUCUCUUCUCGUUUCAAACAUUUCUCCCUAAGAGGUUACAAAUCACAAAUAUCGUGUGUGGGCUAAACAAGCGACUUCACUAGCACAAAACUGUUGGGCCAAAUUCAAAGCCCAAAGGUUAAUGUUGCCAACAGUUGGGUUCGAACCUGAACUGCUGAAGCCCAGCCCAACACACCGCUGGUUGCCGGCAAAAUUUUCCAAAAUCCCGCCUUUACCGCUCAAGGCGCACUGAGAAUUGAAAGGAAAUUUAAUUUUCAGAAGGAAUAACAACCAUCGACAAUGGGGGCACCGGCCAAUCGGAUCGUCAUCCUCGUGCUUACGCUUGGCCGAGCGCCGGAGGUGGAGAUACUUGCUGCCCACCGCAGGAUUCUCCAUUUCCGAAUAGCAUGCUCCCCAUUAUUCCUUAAUCUUUGCUUAUUUUACUUAAAAUAAAACACAAAAUUAAACUGCUUUGGUCUUCAUAAUUGCCAUAUGCUCCCCAAAGAAGAUGAAGAACCAAAAUUCAAUUCUAAUUAUUAAUUUAUUUUCUUUCAAAUUGCAUUCAUGGGUAAAAUCGAAGUUUUUGGAUAUGCACCCAUUGUAACGUAAACAAUUUGAGCUCGUAGUUCAAGUGGUUAGUAUUUUUUUGUUUUGUUCAAGGUGUAAAAUUCGAUAUCUACUGUGCUUGUACAACAUAAAAAAUAGUCAUUUACAAAAUAAGAGGGAAAGCGAGAAGUAUUUUUUUAUAUAAAUAAUAUACAACCUUGACUUUGCGCCAGCUACUUUCUUUUUGGGUACUAUGACUUGCACGGGCUACUUUUCCAUCAUUGAGCUUAGGGUGGGCACGGUACGGUUCGGUCCGGUUUUAUCUCUAAAUCGAAACUGGAAUCGGAAAAUAUCAACGGUUCGGUUCGGUGUGGUUCUGCUUAAAUUUAUUACUAGAACUUUAUGGUUCGGUCUAUACUGAUUUCGAUUCGGUUCUUGCUGGUUUACUGUUCCGAACACUAAAUUAUUUGAACAUCAAAUCAUCAUGCAUUCAAAUACAUCUCCAGACUACUAAAUAUGCUAAAUAUGAGACAAGAUAAUUAAUCAAGUACAAUUAAGUUCAACUAACCUGGAACUGUAGAAGACAAUUAAUCAAACAAUAGAAGAGUGUGCAUAUGCCCUCCGCUCCAAAAUUUCACGAAAAGCUUCAAAUGGGAAACAAUAGAAGAUAAUUAAUCAAACAUCUGUACGCUUCAAAUUGAAAGUGGACACAAAAUCUUUAUUUAAAAGGACAGAAGGUUUAAGCAUGAUAUACAUGAUACGCCCUCCCAAGAUGAAACGAGAACAAUAGAUUAGGUCUCAAUCGUCCAUUUGCGAAUGGGCUAAGUAAUGUAUAUGCCUCAAUGCCACUGUACAGGGAGGACAUCCAUUCAAUCAAAAUGACCCCAAUUAGACAUUUACGUUAUACUACUUUUCAUUUUAUAUUAUUUCUGUUGGAGGGGUACUUUUAGUUCUCAGCUUCCUCAAUUUGCAUUAUAAUAGAAAAAAAUAACAUUACUUAUUUCAGUUCAACCAUACAGUCCAUGACUCCAUGUUAGCACUUCUUACAACCCAAACCAAGGAAAUAAAAUAAAUUCUUUUCAAAAUCAAAGUAAUUAUAGUUCUGAGGAAGCAUAUGCCAAUAUUACACGGGGUCAUGAAAGCUUCAUAAAAAAAGAAGCAAUAAAAAACCCAAACCUUGAAAAACAAAAGCUCAAUGAGCCAUACCGUUCUUGAAGAUCCUUUCGCGAGAAGCUAAGAUAUCACUCUGCGUGGAAGCCAUGGGAGCACCUGAAUCGACAACGCAAUCAAUCACCAUUCACCAAUCCGAAAACAAAGUUUCAAGAAAUUCACACAAUCGAUUGGGGAAAGUGAGAAAAUGAUCGAGCCUGAUAAUUCGGAUGCGAUGCGGUGGGGACUGAAGUGGGGAAGGUGAGUGAAGCAAGAGGUCCUCCGCAGCAUGCAAAGAAGUGAAUGCUUCAGAGACUUGACGAAGGGGUGUAGAGAGAGAAUAUGAGAAAAGAUAGAGAAAAUACCAAGGACGGAGGACGGAGGACGGAGGACUAAGCUGUCGCGGAGGAGGGAUGACGAGGGUCGUCGCAGAGAGUCGCGAGGGAGGUGGGCGGCGACUCGGCAGAGUGAAGAAGCCUACAGGAAUGGAAAUCUAAAAGUGUGAAAUGAGCGAUGACUGAUGAGGCCGUGAGUGAGGAUGAGGGUGGGAUUCACUGCUUUGCAACAUGAUGAAACUAAUUUUUCAACCUAACCUAUUAUAUCAUGACAUGUGUGUAUAUAUAUAAUUAAUUAAUUUAUUAUUAACAAAAGGGUUUAGUUCGAUUCCGGCCGGUUCCUGUUCAUUUGAAACUGGAACCGAACCGGUUUGAAACGGUCCGAUUCGGUUUUUAACUCAAAGUUAAUUUUUCCGGUCAACACGAUUCUUUUCGGUUUUUUUUCUUCAUACGGUUCGAUUCGGUUUUGCGGUUUUUAUGCCCACCCCUAAUUGAGCUGUCUAUACAUACAUAUAUAUAUAUUUGUAUAUGUAUGUGUAUAUGUGGACACAAAGAAAAGAUGAAAUGCGUAGAACUCGACGACCUUGACCCUCCACAUUGGGCCAACUACUAUUCACCCCAGCAUUGAGUGGUUGCUACAGGAUCAACAUUUUCUGCUCUGGCCGCCAGCCGGUACGUAAAUUUAUCAUUCUCUACGAUAUUUGUUAAUUAAGUUGCCAAUCUGCUGUUAAUCUGUUUUAGUAAAUGGCUUAUGGGACAAAAUUUCCAGUCUAAGAGAGCUUUCUGUUUUUGCAAGUAGGUAAUGCCUUAGGUACUUCUUGAUAAAUGCGCAGUAGCCUCCUUAAUGAUGUUUCUCAGAGGGAGGUUAACAAGAUCAAAUUACGUCGUUACAUGGUUUGCGAAUCGCAUGCUAAUUAAACCACAAAAUCACCAAAAAAAUGGAGAGAGUGGCCGGCCAUUCGUUGAAGAAAAUGGAGAAGCCUAAUCCUAUAAAUAGGCUCCUAUUUUCACCAAAAAUUCAUUCCAAUUCUCUUACAAAAAAUCCCAAAUAUUCUAAACACUAUUUUUCUCUAAAAUUCUAACUUUGGCAUCGAAGGUUCUUCGGCCAAAGCCCCCCAUUCAUCGUGGGCGCGUGAGGCUCUUGGCCUUAACCUAAUGUGCUAGUUGUUUUGUAGGUGCAAAAUCGUCCAAGAUCGAAGAGGAGAAAAUUUGCAUCCACAAUUGUGACAUAAACAAUUUGAGCAUGAAUGUUCAAGUGGUCAAUACAUUUUUAUUUUUUGUUCGAGGUCUUAAGUUUGAUGUUGCAUUAUUACCAUGUUUGUAUAACUGAAUAAAAAAGCCAUUUAGGCAUUUACAAAAUAAGAGAGAAAGAGAGAGGUAAAGGCGUGGACACAAAGAACAGAUGAAAUAAAAAAUUAGAAGACGUUGACCUGUUGGCCACUUUUCAAUCAUUGAGCUCAGUCUCCAUAUCAACAUUGAGUGGAAACAAAGAAAAGAUGAAAUGUACAAAAACUCGACGACCUGGACCUUUCACGUUGGGCCUACUACUCUUCAAUCAUCCAGCAUUGAGUGAUUGCUACGAGAUCAACAUUUUCUGCUCUGGCCGCUAUGUAAAUUCAUUAUUCCAGCAUUGAGUGAUUGCUACAAGAUCAACAUUUUCUGCUCUGGCCGCUGUGUAAAUUCUUUAUUCUCGACGAUAUAUGUUAAUGAAGUUGCCAAUCUGUUGGUAGCAGUAACCUCUCCUUAAUGAUGUUUCUCUUAGGGAGGUUAACAAUAUCAAAUUACGUGGUUGCGUGGUUUGCGAAUCGCAUGCUGUUUUCCAUCUUCGUUUCUUAUGCAGUAGCGGUCUUGUUGUGCUCAUCUCACCCAUUUUGCUGUGCUAGAGAUACAGUAACAUAUGACACUCCAAUUACCGACGGUGUUGAAUCAGAAACUCUUGUUUCGUCUGGUGGAAGAUUUGAACUCGGAUUCUUUAGCCCUUCACCUGAAGGGACUCAAAGAUAUGUUGGCAUAUGGUAUCACCAACUUGUAAGUUCUAUAUGAGAGCAAACACUUUGUGAUUUGAUUAAAGACAUUUGGAAUGAUAAGGAGAUUAGGAUUGACACUUGUGGUAGACUUAUCAGGAAUUGUAUUUCUUUGGAGAUUCAAGUCAGAUACAUUCUCGGUAAGACUAGAACUCUUCUAGCUGAUAUAAUGCAUAAGUGUUUCACGGUGAUAAGGCUACUAUUUGAUAAGGAUCACUUAAUGGGAGGGAUCCUGAUUGAAUUCCAUCGUAUGAAGUAUAAAACUGAGGUCCCUGCUCUCUCACAGAACACGCAAGUUUACAGAAAACUCAAGCCCCAUUGAGCGAGCCUUGCUUUCGGUUGUGUAGAGUUGCAGAAGAACUUCAGUUAUUAAUCCUAGUUCUCUGAGACGAUGUCUUCUACAGGUAAGUGGUUAAGUUGAUAAUUGUGAAUAAGUUUUUCCGUUGCAUAAUUUACUUACAUUUGGUAUCAGAGCCCUUCACAUAUCAUUUAACCCUAUGUCGAAGGCAUCAAGAAAUUUUUCCUUGUCUCGCAGGUUACAGAACUGGUAGUAUAUCAUUAGGGAAAUAUAUAUGAACACGAUCAAGUGAUAGCUAAAGCUAUCCUUGAUCAUAAAGACAUAUAUUUUCAUUCAGAUGUACAUACCAGUGAUGGUGCUUAAAUUCAAGACAUGAUCACUGGUCAUCUAAAGAAGAUCAUUCUUUCAUGCUUAGAAUUUAAGUAGUAUAUCACUUUAUAUACGAAUGUUUGAAUCGAAUUACUAUUGUCAAACCACAAAGGUUUAUAAUUUUGAUUACAGAAAUUCGAAUGUUGGUUAUAAAGGUGAUAUGAUUAAAGAAAGUCUUCACAUGUUCAUCAAUCCAAAGAUGUUGAAAAGGUGAUUUAUAGUCUGGGGAUUUAAAGAUUAAUACUUGAACUAUGUGCUUUGACAGUUAUGAAUCCUAGCUCCAUGCACCUUAAUACAGUUGAACCACUCACUGGUGUCAACUAUAAGAAAUGGAAGCAAGAUCUUGAGAUCGUGCUAGGUGUCAUGGAUUGGGACUUAGCACUUAGAACUGAAGAGCCCCCUACACGAACAGAUGGAAGCACCUCAAGUCAGAAGUCUAAAUAUGAAAAGUGGCACAAAUCAAACAGAAUUUCCUUAUUGAUUAUCAAAAGAAGCAUGAUUGAUGUGGUUCGAGGAGCCUUCACAGAUGCUACCAAUGCAAAGGAUUUCUCAAGUCCAUUGAGCAGAAGUACCAAGAGUCACCAAAAACUGAGACGGAUGCUACCAAUGCAAACAAUUUCCUUAAGUCCAUUGAAGAAAAGUACCAGGAGUCACCAAAAAAUUGAAACAGGUAAUCUCAUGAAUUCACUGACAACCAUGAGACAUGAUGGCAUAGAGAGUGUGUGUGAGUACAUUUUAAAAAUGGUGGACAUCGCUGGAAAACUCAAAGCUCUCGAGGUACUAAUCCCUGAAACUUUCUUGGUACAUGUGAUAUUGAGUUCCCUGCCUGAUAGUUAUACACAUCUCAAAUUGUCCUACAAUGCAUUGCGUGAAAAGUGGGAUGUGAAUGAGUUAAUUUCAGUAUGUGUGAGUGAGGAGGAAAGGAUGAAAAAGUUUGAAAAUGAGAAGAUUAAGUCUUUGAACUAUGUACGAAGUACCACCGAGGCACAUACACCCUUAACCACCGAUACUAGAAAGAAUUCUACCAAAAGGGUUCCCUCUCCUAAAAGAAACACCAAACCUAACAAGCCAUCGAUUCUCAAACAUUAUUUUUGUAUAAGGCUUGGCUUGCCAUAUGAAGAAAGGUAAAAACUUUUUUGCUUGUUUUGAGUCUAAUUUAAUUAUUAUACCUAGCACUAAAUGGUGGCUUGACUCUAGCUUUUCUAUUCAUGUUACGAAUUCAUUGCAGAACUUCAUAACAAGGAGAACAUCAAAUAAAACUCAACAAAGUCGAAUUUAUUUUAACAUUCAAAUGAACAUACUAAGACUCGACAAUCAUCAAACUUAUAGCAAAAGAGGCUAGGUCAUAUGUCAAAACAAAGGAUGAGUUACUUGUCAAUAAUGAUAUUUUGCCUCCCGUAAUUUUUAAUGGUUUUGAGUUCUGUGUGGAUUAUGCUAAGGGAAAAAUGACAAGUAGUAGAAAGAAAGGAUCAACAAGAAGCAAAGAAACUUUAGAAAUCAUCCAUACGGACGUUUGUGGUCUUUUUUCCCACACAAACUAUAGAGGGACAUAAAUAUUUCAUAACUACUUUUUCUUAAUUUUGUUUCAUCUAUCUAAUUCAAAAUAAUCAAAUGCACUUGAAACUUUAAGAUUUCAAAAUUGACAUCGAAAACCAAUUGGAAGAAAAAAAAAAAAAAAAAAAAUUUAAGGAGGUUAGGUCUGAUAGGAGAGGUGAAUACAAUGGUAGAUACACUCAAACUGGCAGACAUCUUAGUCCUUUUGCCCUUUUUUCUUUUUCUACAAGAAAAUGGAAUUGUAGCUCAAUACACCACACUAGAAAUCUCGAGCAAAACGAAGUGGCUAAGAAAAGAAGGAGAACCCUAAUGGACAUAGUAAGGAGUACGAUUUGUAAGACUAAUCUACCAAGUUGUUUAUGGAGUUAGAGAUGGACAAUGACAAUCUUAUAUUUGAAGAAGAUGAUUAAAUGGGGAAUGAUGCUGAACAUUCACCGAUUGCAGCAGCCUUGGUUGAAAUUACAGAUCAAUUAUAAGAAAUUAAGUAUGUGUAAUGAUGAUGGUCUGUUACACCAAAGCACCGAUAAUGUGCUGUUGCUCAAUGAGAAACAUACUUAUGAUCAUGCAAGCCAUGAUGAGUCAGUAACUGUGAGUGGCAGCUGCGAUCACCGACAACCAGCAAACAAACGUGGCCAGCAGCAGUGAGCACCGACUACACCGAUUGCAACAACAUGCAAACACUCACGCGGGGUACGUGGAAUUGACACCUGACAAACGUGGCAAGAAGAUGGUCAAAUGGAGAUUAAUACUGAAAUGGCCAAAUAGGGAUUAAUACUGAGCCAACACCGACUGUAGCAAUAGUGGUUGAACUUCCAAGUGAAGUGGAAGAAGAUGAGGGCUAUGAUGAUUGCUAUUUUCAGCAUGGCAAAAAUGAUGUGUUGUUGCAUGGUGAGCAGCAAAUUCGUCAUCAUACAAGGCACGUGGAGGAAAGAGUUUCAAGUGGCAAUGAACUGAAGCAUGACACUGAAAUUGAGGUGUUGUUAGACGGUGAACCGCAUGCAGGAAAUCAGCAAGGACACGUGGAUGAAGAUGAAGCAGCCGUGAAUGGCAGUAACCACCGACUGGAGUCAACAGUUUUGGCAGUCGGUAAUGUUCCACUGUUUUGAGGAAAUCAGAUAGGGUAAGAAAGUCAACAUUCUCAUCAUAUUUUGUGUAUUUGGUAGAGACAGAUUUUAAUUUAUCAGAGUUUUGUGAUCCUGGGAUUUUCAAACAAGUCAUCUCGAGUCCAAAAAUAGACAAUUGGAUUACAGCAGACAUCAAGACAAUGGUACCUAAAAUUUCAUCGAGUUGUAAAAGAAGGUUUCAUAGAGAACCCAUCAGAUAAAUUGUGUUUAUUUGAGAUUCUGUGGGAGCAAUUUUAUCAUUCUAGUUCUUUAUGUGGAUGAUAUAUUGCUCACCACAAAUAGUCAUAGUUUGUUGGAUGAAACUAAAGUUUUCUUGCAAAGACACUUCGAGAUGAAAGACCUGAGAGAUGACACUUAUGUCCAAGGGAUUCAGAUCAAAAGUGAGAGAAUAAGAGGGCUGUUGGGUUUUCCACAAAGAGCAUACAUAAAAAGGUUUAAUAUGUCUUCAUGUGAGACUACAGAAAUGCCCAUAUCAAAGGGUGAUAUAUUGAUCGAACUGUAGUGUCCCAAAACAGACUUGGAGAGGAAGAUGAUGGAAGAUAAGCAAUAUGCAUCCUGGGUUGGGAGUUUGAUGCAUGCACAAGUGUGCACAAGGCCUGAUUUAGCCUUCACCAUUUCGGUGCUUGGUAGGUUCCAAUCCAGUGCUGGAGAGGCUUACUAGAAUGCAGCAAAGAGUGUAGAGAUAUCUUUAGAGAACUAAAAGAUCAUACGUUAGUCUACAGAAUGACAUAGGACCAAAGAUCAUAUGUUAGUCUACAUAAGGACAUAAAAACAUCGUUUUAGAAGGUUAUAAUGACUUAGAUUUUGCGGGUUGUCCAGAUGAUAUGAAAUCAACAUGGGGUUGUGUGAUCUUAAUGGCAUGUGGAGCAGUAUCUUGGAAGAGUGUAAAAUAACAGACUGUGGUUGCUUCAAACUAUGUUUGCAGAAUACUUGUCCUAUUGUGAAACUGUGAAUCUAGCCAUUUGGUUGAAGAAUUUCAUAACAGUACUACAAGAGGUAGACUCAAUCUUGAGACCUAUACAGAUUUAUUUGACGACAGAGUAGCUAUAUUUUUCACUUAGAAUAAUAAAAGGUAAAAUGCAACAAGGAACUUGGAUAUGAAGUAUCUCAUUUCUCGAGAAAAGGUGGUAGCUAGUUUGGUCAAGAUUGAGUAAUUGGAGACUAAUUCAAUGAUUGUUCAUCCAUUGAAUAAGGCUGUUAUCAUAGCGGUUUUCAAGAAGCAUGUCAGCAAAGCAUAGGGGUAAUGGGUGAUUUUGAUGCAGCAAACUCAUGCAGGAAACCAGUGGGAGCAAACUGAUGCAGGAAAUCAGUGGGAGCUGCAUAUCAGGUUCAUUUUAAAUGUUAGUUUUCUUCAGUUGCAGUUCAUGUUCUGGAAGUUGUAUUCGAGUAUUAAUAAUAAAGGCUUCUUAGCUAAUAAAGAAAAAUGUUGUAAGGUUGUUAAAGUUCCCAAAAAGUAUACAGCAUAUAGUUAUGAUAAUGCAUGAAUGUUUUUAUGCAUGAUGAUUAAUGAUCUUGAAUUAUCAUGAAGGAAAAACAACCUAAGGGCUUCGUUCAGAAGCAUUGGGAUUGCUUUCAAUCCUGAAGGGGACCAAAUGUUUGACAUAUUACAAAUACAUAUCCAGUCAUGUCUUACAUUGUUUUUAUAUCUUGUUGGAGUCUCAUGUGUUGGUUAGUUUCAUUGUAAGUAAUUAUGGGGACGGUACUCUUUGAAAGUUGAGUGUGUUGUUGCCCUAUAGUUCUCAUGAAUACUUGUUAAUGACAGAGACUGGUAAAUCGAGAAAAUGUCAAAGACUAAUCUCAUGGCCAAUUCAGAUUCAUUCCAUAUUAAGUAUAAACUAUACAAGUUGACAAAGUAUUUGCUCUAGUGGGAGAAUGUAAGUUCUAUAUGAGAGCAAACACUUUGUGAUUUGAUUAAAGACAUUUGGAAUGAUAAGGAGAUUAGGAUUGACACUUGUGGUAGACUUAUCAGGAAUUGUAUUUCUUUGGAGAUUCAAGUCAGAUACAUUCUCGGUAAGACUAGAACUCUUCUAGCUGAUAUAAUGCAUAAGUGUUUCACGGUGAUAAGGCUACUCUUUGAUAAGGAUCACUUAAUGGGAGGGAUCCUGAUUGAAUUCCAUCGUAUGAAGUAUAAAACUGAGGUCCCUGCUCUCUCACAGAACACGCAAGUUUACAGAAAACUCAAGCCCCAUUGAGCGAGCCUUGCUUUCGAUUGUGUAGAGUUGCAGAAGAACUUCAGUUAUUAAUCCUAGUUCUCUGAGACGAUGUCUUCUACAGUCUAAGAGAGCUUUCUGUUUUUGCAAGUAGGUAAUGCCUUAGGUACUUCUUGAUAAAUGCGCAGUAGCCUCCUUAAUGAUGUUUCUCAGAGGGAGGUUAACAAGAUCAAAUUACGUCGUUACAUGGUUUGCGAAUCGCAUGCUAAUUAAACCACAAAAUCACCAAAAAAAUGGAGAGAGUGGCCGGCCAUUCGUUGAAGAAAAUGGAGAAGCCUAAUCCUAUAAAUAGGCUCCUAUUUUCACCAAAAAUUCAUUCCAAUUCUCUUACAAAAAAUCCCAAAUAUUCUAAACACUAUUUCUCUCUAAAAUUCUAACUUUGGCAUCGAAGGUUCUUCGGCCAAAGCCCCCCAUUCAUCGUGGGCGCGUGAGGCUCUUGGCCUUAACCUAAUGUGCUAGUUGUUUUGUAGGUGCAAAAUCGUCCAAGAUCGAAGAGGAGAAAAUUUGCAUCCACAAUUGUGACAUAAACAAUUUGAGCAUGAAUGUUCAAGUGGUCAAUACAUUUUUAUUUUUUGUUCGAGGUCUUAAGUUCGAUGUUGCAUUAUUACCAUGUUUGUAUAACUGAAUAAAAAAGCCAUUUAGGCAUUUACAAAAUAAGAGAGAAAGAGAGAGGUAAAGGCGUGGACACAAAGAACAGAUGAAAUAAAAAAAUUAGAAGACGUUGACCUGUUGGCCACUUUUCAAUCAUUGAGCUCAGUCUCCAUAUCAACAUUGAGUGGAAACAAAGAAAAGAUGAAAUGUACAAAAACUCGACGACCUGGACCUUUCACGUUGGGCCUACUACUCUUCAAUCAUCCAGCAUUGAGUGAUUGCUACGAGAUCAACAUUUUCUGCUCUGGCCGCUAUGUAAAUUCAUUAUUCCAGCAUUGAGUGAUUGCUACAAGAUCAACAUUUUCUGCUCUGGCCGCUGUGUAAAUUCUUUAUUCUCGACGAUAUAUGUUAAUGAAGUUGCCAAUCUGUUGGUAGCAGUAACCUCUCCUUAAUGAUGUUUCUCUUAGGGAGGUUAACAAUAUCAAAUUACGUGGUUGCGUGGUUUGCGAAUCGCAUGCUGUUUUCCAUCUUCGUUUCUUAUGCAGUAGCGGUCUUGUUGUGCUCAUCUCACCCAUUUUGCUGUGCUAGAGAUACAGUAACAUAUGACACUCCAAUUACCGACGGUGUUGAAUCAGAAACUCUUGUUUCGUCUGGUGGAAGAUUUGAACUCGGAUUCUUUAGCCCUUCACCUGAAGGGACUCAAAGAUAUGUUGGCAUAUGGUAUCACCAACUGAGUCCGAGGACAGUGGUAUGGGUUGCCAACAGAGAAAAGGCAGUUGACAAUUCCACUAGUAAUGGAAGUCUUGCACUCCAAGAUGGUAACCUCCAUGUGUUGGAUGCUGCUGGAAAGAGGUACUGGUCAACGGAGGUUGAAACAUCCGAGUCUUUGACGCAGACUGUGACGCUCAUGGAUUCCGGGAACCUUGUUCUAAGCAGUGGCCAUGAUAAGUUGGCAGUGAAUAUUCUGUGGCAGAGCUUUCAAAGUCCAACCGAUACAUUCAUUCCUGGGAUGGUAAUGGAUAAAAGCUUGGUGUUGACUUCAUGGAGAGGCGAAGAUGACCCGGAAAGCGGGCGAUUCAUCUUCAAAAAAGAUCCAGUUCGAGAGGACCAGUAAGUCAUCACAAAAUCAAAAUCAGAUUUAGAAUCGAUUCUGUACUGGAAAGGCGGAGAACGGGCAACCGAUACAUUUUACAGCUUUGAUCAAAUGCUUCCUGCAGUUACUUACUCAUUAUCAAAUUUCAGCAAGAAAUAUGUUGUUGGAAAUUCCAGCAAGGUUUUCAGUUCUCCGAGUCAAAACUCUUCUUAUAAAAACCCAGGAAUUCCUCCACGAUCAGAAUACAAUUAUACAAGGUUGGUGAUUAAUAUUACUGGAGAGAUACAGUUUUGGACGUGGAUUAAUUCCACAAAGCGGUGGAAUUUGAAUUGGUCGGCGCCAAGAGAUGAAUGUAGUGUGUUUAAUGCUUGCGGCUACUUUGGCAGCUGCAAUAGUAAUAAUAGGCCGCUGCUGUGCAAAUGUUUGCCAGGUUUCAAGCCCCAGUAUCUACAGCAGUGGAAUUCUGGAGACUUUUCAGGUGGAUGCAAAAGAGACUCUGCAUUAUGUGGCAACAACAAGAUUGAUACCUUCUUGAGCUUGAAGAAGAUGAAAGUGGGAAACCCAGAUUCAAAAAUCAACGUUGAAAAAGAAGAAGAAUGCAGGAACGGGUGCUUAAAUAGCUGCCAGUGCAAGGCCUAUUCAUAUGCUAUAUCUGGAGAGUAUAGUAAUCGAAGGGAUGCUUCAUUGUGCAAAAUAUGGAACGAGGGAGAUCUAAAUAAUCUUGAAGAAGAGUAUACUGAUGGGGGCCAGGACCUCUCUGUUCGUGUUGCGUUGUCUGAUUUAGGUAUUCUUCCUCUGAAGCUUCCCGAAACUAACAAAUGAAUGUGUGGAUGGCAUAAAUAUUUACCUUGUGAAUUAUGUGUUGUGUUUGGCUCAUAUACUUAUGAGUUGGCAACAAUUUUGAUAGUGUAACUUUCUGCGUGCUACAGGGAAAUGGUAGUAGCCACUUUGUGUUUGUCUUUCGGUUGUGGCAUGGAUGUCUUGUUCAAGAGAAGACAUGGUGACUACCACAAGCAAAGUUGGAAGCAAGACUUGACUUUGUGGUUGCUUGCACACAAUUGUGCAUGUUUUAUUGUGCAUGCAUUAAAUGACAAAUGGAGAAAAGUUGUACUUAAUAGACUAGGUAUAGACUUUGAUGCAUGCUAGGUAGGCUAAGUGAUAAUUAUGUCAUGUGAACUUAAGACUUUUUGGUCUUAUUUGUUGGCAUAGUUGCUAGUGUAUGCCUAUAAUUAGAUGCAAUAUUUGUGCAUUUAGAAAUGCAUUGACAAAGCAUCAAGAGGGAGAGCAUUCGACUCUCUCCUGAGAAAGCAUCCGAAGGAGAACACAAAGGAGAGAAAAUAUAGAGUGAGAGUGAGAAACUCUUGGGGAGAGUGAGGUUCUUGUGAAAAUUCUAUGAGUGGGUGUACAAGGGAUUUGGGAUUGGGCUAUGUCGCUUUAACUCAUGUGUACUUGUACUGUUAUUCUCAUAGUGAAGAGCAAUAUCUCUCCGGGGACGUAGGCAGGUUUUUGCCGAACCUCGUAAAUUUCUCGGUGUCUUUAUUUCUUGUAUUUUAUUCUGUUCAACUGUGAGUGUGAUUUGGUAAAGUUGUAAUCUGAAUCUCGUUUCCGCACUAAUGAAUGGGCCAAGGCACAACAUUAUGAUCAAACCAUUUUCCAGCCAAAAUGCAGAACUGAGAGUGAGCUUCAGUUACAUGAGUUUUAUCUUUAUGCUUUCUGCUGUUUCACGAUAUUCCUUACAUGUAUAUAUCGUUUCAAUUAGCAUGAUUCUAUUUAUAUUUGAUUAAACGCGGGGUUAAACCUUUGUGAACAUAAUUGCAAAAGCAUGAGAUUAUUCGAUGUGGACAUAAAUGAGGUAGCUAUAACAGUCAAUUAAUUACACCUUGUGCAGAAUCAACUGUAAGAGACUGUAAGCCUUGUGGCACAACCAUCAUCCCCUAUCCCCUGAGCACAAGUCCGGAUUGCGGUGACCCCAUGUACUUCCAUUUCAAGUGCGACAACUUCACAGAUCAGGUUAACUUUGACGGACUGAUUCUGGGACUGAAUGAAACCUUGUUUAGAGUAAUUAGCAUUAACUCGAGUUCACAGAGAUUUUUCAUCCAAGGCUUCCAAACCGAAAAUGCAGAUAAAUGUGAUCGUAUGAACAGUGGGGUAAAUUCGCAGAUCAGCACAGCACCGCCAUUUAAAGUAAUAAGUUUGUGUAAUGCUGACCUGGGUAAUUUUAGUUCUGAAGCACUGUCAUCCAGAAGUCCGAUUGUAGUUGAGAUGGGUUGGGAGCCACCUGUGGAACCACCCUGUAUAAAAUCUUCUGACUGCAGGGAUUGGCCACAUUCAAUGUGCAAUCCUGCAAGCGAUGGAAAGAAAAGAUGCCUGUGCGAAAUCAAUUUUCGAUGGAAUGGCUUGAAAUUAAGAUGUACUCAAGGUGAGAAUACCAUGUUAGGCAUAAAAUUUCUGUCAUCCAUGUGCCCUCUUGCAAAUCAAAUUUUUAUGUUGAUAACAGUGCUGCAGAAUCGUUUUAGAUUGUACAAUACAAUAAAAAUGAUUAUAUGACAAUAAUAUUUUCUUUUCCUUCUUGAUCUUCAAGACCAUACGAGAAGAAAAUUACCAUUGUCUCUGAUGAUUGUAGCGGUGCUUUUAAGUGUGAUUUUUCUGGCGUGCAUCGUCAUUUCCAUUUAUAUAUGGAGAAGAAAUAUGACCAACAAACGAGGUAACUGCUUUUCUAUAUGCGUUAUUGUCAUGAAAGAUCUGCAGAGUUGUCCAUAGUUGAUGAGAAUAAAUCUGUUCGAUUCCCUGUAUUAGUUCAAAUAAGACGAGGACAAUUUGAUAGUGAAAGGCGAGUCAAGGAGUUGAUAGACACAAGCGAGUUCAAGGAAGAGGAAGGUAUAGAUGUACCUUUUUUUGAUAUGCAAACUAUACUAGACGCUACAGAUAAUUUCUCAAAUGCAAACAAGCUUGGACAAGGGGGAUACGGGCCUGUUUACAAGGUAAUUGAACAGUUGUUUACCAUUCCUUUGCACUCGAAUCACCUUUAUAUAGCAACACUUGUUGUCAUUAAUGUUUAUCUGUUGGUUAGUUCUAAAUUUAUAUGUAAGGGAUUUUGUUGCCAGGGAAUGUUUAUUGGAGGCCAAGAAAUCGCGGUGAAAAGGCUAUCAAGGGUUUCAGGACAAGGCUUGCAGGAAUUUAGGAAUGAGGUGGUGCUGAUUGCCAAACUUCAACACCGAAACCUUGUUAGACUUAAGGGAUGUUGCAUGAAGGGAGAAGAAAAGAUCUUACUAUAUGAGUACAUGCCUAACAAAAGUUUAGACUUCUUUAUAUUUGGUUCGUUCCAACUCCUCUUUUCAUUAUCUUUUACUGCAUGAUAUGAUUUCUUGAUUGACUUAACUACAAUAGCUUCUAAAUUUUUCUCUAUAUGGAAAAUGGAAAUUCCGCAAGAUCAUACAAAAAGCAUGUUUCUCAACUGGGAGAUGCGUUUUAGCAUCAUUUUAGGAAUCGCUCGAGGGCUUCUUUAUCUUCAUCAAGAUUCCAGAUUGAGGAUCAUUCAUAGAGAUUUGAAAACCAGCAACAUUCUUCUAGAUGAGGAGAUGAACCCCAAAAUAUCUGACUUCGGUUUAGCGAGGAUUGUUGGAGGCAAGGAAACUCAGGCAAACACAAACACUGUAGUUGGAACUUAGUGAGUUACUAAGUUUUGCGUCUAUGAUUUCAUAUUCUUGACCCUUUUAGGUGACAGUGUUUUUGUGCCUGCAUAAGUUACAAAGUUUUUUUUUUUUUUUGAUACAGUGGUUACAUGGCUCCGGAGUAUGCAUUGGAUGGAACUUUCUCAGUGAAAUCAGAUGUCUUUAGCUUUGACGUGGUUCGUCUUGAGAUAAUCAGCGGAAAAAAGAACACAGGCUUUUACCAAUCCGAACAAACUUUCAGCCUCAUAAAUUAUGUAAGACAGCAAGUGCGUCGAAUAUUUCAUAUCCAUUUUUAACCCCAAUUUACACUUGCAUCAGUCUUGAAUUUUACCAUUUUCCCAGGCAUGGAGACUCUGGACAGAAAACAAGGUGCUGGAUUUAAUGGACAAGAUUUUGGACGAAAGUUGCAACAAAACCCAGUUUAUCCAGUGUGUCAAUGUCGGUCUCUUAUGCGUACAAGAAGAUCCAAACGAUCGGCCCGCCAUGUCAAACGUUAUCACCCUGCUUGACAAUGAAACUGCAACCUCUCCAUCUCCUAAACAACCAGGGUUUCUCACAAGGGGAGGCAAAUACAGCACAGCUUCUUCUUCUAGUAAGCCAGAAGCUAUAUCUGAAAUAACCACCAGUAUAGUAGAAGGUAGAUAAUUAAAGGACGGUUGAUACU
rnacentral:lncRNA from 1 species